GAGUUUGAUCCUGGCUCAGGAUGAACGCUGGCGGUCUGCUUAACACAUGCAAGUCGAACGGGAUCCUUCGGGAUUUAGUGGCGGACGGGUGAGUAACGCGUGAGAAUCUGCCCUUAGGUUGGGGACAACAGUUGGAAACGACUGCUAAUACCCAAUGUGCCGAGAGGUGAAAGGUUAACUGCCUGGGGAUGAGCUCGCGUCUGAUUAGCUAGUUGGAGUGGUAACGGCACACCAAGGCGACGAUCAGUAGCUGGUCUGAGAGGAUGAUCAGCCACACUGGGACUGAGACACGGCCCAGACUCCUACGGGAGGCAGCAGUGGGGAAUUUUCCGCAAUGGGCGAAAGCCUGACGGAGCAAGACCGCGUGAGGGAGGAAGGCCUAUUGGUUGUAAACCUCUUUUGAUAGGGAAGAACACAAUGACGGUACCUAUCGAAUCAGCAUCGGCUAACUCCGUGCCAGCAGCCGCGGUAAUACGGAGGAUGCAAGCGUUAUCCGGAUUUAUUGGGCGUAAAGCGUCCGUAGGUGGCAAACCAAGUCAGUUGUUAAAGCGUAGAGCUUAACUCUAUAAGGGCAAUUGAAACUGGUUAGCUAGAGUGCGAUAGGGGCAAGGGGAAUUCCCAGUGUAGCGGUGAAAUGCGUAGAUAUUGGGAAGAACAUCGGUGGCGAAGGCGCCUUGCUGGGUCUGCACUGACACUGAGGGACGAAAGCUAGGGGAGCGAAAGGGAUUAGAUACCCCUGUAGUCCUAGC
rnacentral:rRNA from 1 species